AUUGAACGCUGGCGGCAUGCUUUACACAUGCAAGUCGAACGGCAGCGAGGAGAAGCUUGCUUCUCUGUCGGCGAGUGGCGAACGGGUGAGUAUAGCAUCGGAACGUGCCAAGUAGUGGGGGAUAACCAAACGAAAGUUUGGCUAAUACCGCGUAAGCUCUAAGGAGGAAAGUAGGGGACCUAAAUAAGGCCUUACGCUAUUUGAUCGGCCGAUGUCGGAUUAGCUAGUUGGUGGGGUAAUGGCUCACCAAGGCAAUGAUCCGUAGCGGGUCUGAGAGGACGAUCCGCCACACUGGGACUGAGACACGGCCCAGACUCCUACGGGAGGCAGCAGUGGGGAAUUUUGGACAAUGGGGGAAACCCUGAUCCAGCCAUGCCGCGUGUAUGAAGAAGGCCUUAGGGUUGUAAAGUACUUUUGUUAGGGAAGAAAAGCUAGUUUUUAAUAAAAAUUAGUGAUGACGGUACCUAAAGAAUAAGCACCGGCUAACUACGU
rnacentral:rRNA from 1 species